AUUGAACGCUGGCGGCAGGCCUAACACAUGCAAGUCGAGCGGAUGAAGGGAGCUUGCUCCUGGAUUCAGCGGCGGACGGGUGAGUAAUGCCUAGGAUUCUGCCUGGUAGUGGGGGAUAACGUCCGGAAACGGACGCUAAUACCGCAUACGUCCUGAGGGAGAAAGUGGGGGAUCUUCGGACCUCACGCUAUCAGAUGAGCCUAGGUCGGAUUAGCUAGUUGGUGGGGUAAAGGCCUACCAAGGCGACGAUCCGUAACUGGUCUGAGAGGAUGAUCAGUCACCCUGGAAAUGAGACACGGUCCAGACUCCUACGGGAGGCAGCAGUGGGGAAUAUUGGACAAUGGGCGAAAGCCUGAUCCAGCCAUGCCGCGUGUGUGAAGAAGGUCUUCGGAUUGUAAAGCACUUUAAGUUGGGAGGAAGGGCAGUAAGUUAAUACCUUGCUGUUUUGACGUUACCAACAGAAUAAGCACCGGCUAACUUCGU
rnacentral:rRNA from 1 species